AGUCAUUCGCGUACAGUUACUGGAGACGUGCAGCGGACUGCAGCGAAACGCUCGACAAUACAAAAACAACGCAACGACGCGUACAUAAAAUAUUUAAUUUAAUGUUUUGCGAGGUCGACGUGGAAUAUUCGCCAGUGAAAAGCGUGUAAAAAUGUAAAAUAAGUGAGAAACCAGUAUUUGCAAUAGCGGCAUAGUGAUUUGACUUUCCAAAAAGCAAAAAUACGAUUCGAAAUAAUUUGAAAACGUAUACAAAAUUGAUAAAAGUGUUCAAAAUUAUAUAAAAUUAGUAUAUUCUUAAAGACGUAGUAAAUGCGCUAGUGUCUGUGUUAAAUAGAGUAAAUAUUUUAACUACAAGAGCAUUUACAUACACAUAUAUAAAUGAUAAAGUUUUUUACAAAAUCAAAAAUGUAUACUUCAGAGCUAAUGGAACAUAUUGGUGAUUACCUAAGUAACAUCAUACACUUACAAGUAAUGGAUAUGGCCAAAGGUCAAAACCAAGAAAGCGUUAAAUCCAUACUGGGCCGUCACACAAAAAUUCUGGUCAAGUAUAUGGUUAAAUUGGAGACGAAAGGUGACAAAACCGAAAACCGUGUUUUGGUUUUUACACCAGUUCGUAUUUAUUUGCUAAUCGCAAAGGUGCCCACAAAGAUCGAAUGUCACUUUCACUACUUGGACAUACAGGCAGUGGAAAGUAAAAAGUCAACACACUUCUCAAUCAUCACAAAUGAUCGUCCGUAUUCAUUUGCAACGAGCUUCGAUGCGGGGAGCUUCAGUGCGAACGCUGACGUUAUACUCACCGAUUUGGCAUCGGCAAUUAAGCACAUUUUCCCAACAGUUCCUCUCAAGUACAUCAUAAGAAAAAUCGAUAUUCAACCGCCCGAACGUGAGGUUGUUUUCUCCGAAGAGUUUCGUCCCACAGACCCACGCAGCGUUGGCCCUUGCGGUGGUUUCAGCACACAAUAUGCUUGCAUGUGUGAUUUCCAUGGCGUGCCCUACAGAGAGGAAGUCGCUUGGGAUAUCGAUACGAUUUAUUUAUCCCAUGAUACACGCGUGCUGAAUUUACGUGAUUUCGAUCAUUUGGAACCAAAAGACUUAAUGGCCAUUGUGUCCGCAUUGGAGUAUAACACAUUUUUUCGCGGUCUAAAAGCAUCACAUAUGCGCCUCUCCAAUGAGACUUUGGAGCGCAUACUACACGUGCUCAAGCGUUCAAUGUGGCUGGAGGAGCUGCAUUUGGAGGCGUUAGGUUUAAGAUCGGAUUUUCUGCAUAAAUUAGCUGUAUCUGUGAUCACAAACAACAAUCCCGCAAUACGUACGAUCGAUUUGAGUCAUAAUUUAAUUGAGGAUAAAGGUGCUAUUCACUUGGCCGGCCCCAUUGCCAAGGUUUCGAAAGGUCUUUGCAAGCUGGCGCUCGCUCAUUGCGGUCUAACAUCGAAGGGCGUGAAUCAGAUGUCGCAUUCUUUGUCGCUGAAUCAAAGCAUUUCCAAUUCACUCACACAUUUAGAUUUAAGCGGCAAUAGUCUUAAGGACGACAUAACAAAUUUACAUAAUUUUCUUGCACAACCGAAUGUUUUGGAACAUUUGGAUCUCUCAUCGACUGAUAUAACCUUGGAGAAUUUAUUUGGUGCCCUUUUACGCGGUUGUGCAACGCAUUUAGCUCACUUAAAUGUUUCACACAAUUCUUUUAGCACAAAAAAAGGCAAAGAGAUACCGCCAUCGUUUAAGCAAUUCUUCACGAGCACAUUGAGUUUAAAACAUUUAAAUAUUGCCGGUUGUAAACUGCCAAUGGAAGCGCUCAAAAACUUACUGCUCGGUUUAGCCUGCAACGAGUCCACAGCUGGGCUGUAUUUAGAUUUAAGUAGCAAUACGUUAGGUGCCCAGGGCGCGCAUGUUUUGGAAUCAUGCAUACAUGGUGUACGAGUUUUACAAAGUUUAGAUAUAAGUGACAAUAAUUUGGAUGCCGAAUUAGCUCCCGUUUUAACAGCGAUUUCGAAAAAUCCCUCAAUACGUACGCUUUACAUGACACGCAGCCUGACCGGCAUGAAAUUGAAACAUAUUCCCACCGUUAUGGACGCGCUGGUGAAUCUGAUACAAAAAGACGAUUUCCCAUUGGCUGAGUUGGUGAUCUCCGAAAAUAAGUUGAAGAAUGAUAUACACGACUUCAUUAAUGCGCUUGGCAGUAAUCAAAGUUUGCAGAAACUAGACAUUAGCGGCAACUACAUGGGCGACGUCGGUGCGCGCCUGCUUGCCAAAGCUCUGCAAAUCAACAACAAGCUGCGCACAAUUUACAUGGACAAGAACAACAUAACACCGCAGGGUUACGGCGACAUCGUCUACGCUUUGGAAAACAAUCACAGCAUGCGCACCAUACAAUAUCCGGUCUUCGACAUCACACCACACAUGAAAAACCAUCCGGAGAAGACCGAUGCGAUUAUGCGCAAAAUGCAAGAGCUUCUACAGCGCAACUGCAAUGGACUCAAGCGCGCCAACGGACAAGGAUUCCGGUUGCAACAUGGUUUCAUGCUCUCCUCAACACACCAGCUGGUCGAUAAGCUCGUGGCCGAAACACAAGAUAACAUCUCGGUGGCUAAGGGUAGCGAUUCGUCGGCAGUGCAGCGACUGAUCGAUGACGCCGAGAACUGCAAACAAUUAAUGCCAAAAUUACAGGAGGCUGUGCGUUGUGAAUCACAUCCGGUGGAAAUAAAGCUUACACGCAUCGCCAGUGAUCUCAGCUACACCAUACAGGGUUAUCUGGAGGAAACAUUGGAGACCAUGCUGCGCACGGCUGUCGAGCAGUGUCCCAAAACAUUGGGCAGUCAAAUGGUCGUGCAAGACUUGCGCAAAGCGCUGAGUGAGCGUCUACAAAUACCGGAAGAUUUUCUACAGAGUUGUUUGCUGAAUAAUGCCGGCAGUGAGAUCAUGAAUAAAGUGGGUGAAAUCGAACAAUCAUUGGCGGCAUCCAUCUCUGACCGCGCCACUGACGAGGUGUUGGAGGCGCUGACACGCUAUCGGCGCGGCCUGGGCAUUGCCGAUUCACCAUCUGUGCUGCUCGAUGAGCCACAAACACCUGAUAUUGUGCGCAGCCGUUCGAGUCAUGAUGCGGAUGGCCUGAUAAUACGCCCCGGACGUGGUUCCGUCCUACCCAAAAUGGGUCUGGAAUCGCCCACUGCUACCCCACACAUGCCCACCAAGCGUCGUUCGGUGGCGCGCAAAGUGCGUCCUCAGUCCGUCGUGGAGAACCUCAGCUUGGGUCACAUACCCGAUCUGUUGGAGUCACCCUCUUCGCAUCGCUCCUCGUCACAGCUAUCGCCACGCGAUUCGAAUGGCAUGGGCGCCAGCAUUGCCGGCACGACUACGGGGGGUAGCGGCAACGGCUUGGAUGAUUUAGGCGGUGAUGAAUGCGGCGACUCAAUAACUGAACUGCCCAGCGCCUCAUUCCAAUUGCAACAUCUGGUUAAGGGACGACCGAAACGUGCCAAGACGCGCGCACCAACGCGACCGUUGGUUGCGGUGGACAAUAGCGCCGGCCCGAGCACCAAAGAGAUAGGCGAGGGUUUGGAUUUAUUCUUUCGUCCCGGUUCGGUGACGCCUACCACGUUGACACCGCUGAUUUCACCCACCUCCGAAGAGUGCAGCUCACUAUCGUUUGUCGAUAGUCCAACAAUGAGUCGUGAUGGCAACGGUCAUUUGACAUCCGAAGAGACUACACCCAUAUUGGAGGAGCGCAGACCCAUUAAGCUGGAUCGGCAGUCACCACUGCUCAAGGGCGUGCCAUGGACCACACGUUCGCGUUCGACAGACAAUUUAGAAAAAUAUUCACCACUAAUUGGCCGUAAAUCGCCGCUGGUGAAAAUGCGUACUGAAGGUGGCAGCGUUGCGGCGGGUGAUGAGCCCAAUUCAGCGCUAAAAGCUCCGGAACGUGAGAAUAAGAUGCGUUCGCCAAGCAGUGAUUCGAUACGUAGCCACACCGGCGGCGAUGGCAUCAGCAUUAAGACUACUAACGGUAUUAUACGAACACCAAUAAUACUGCAAAAGCCACGUCCCUGGUCGGUAGUAGGAAAUGAACCUAAAGCGCCUGGUGCUAACGACUUCCAAAGCAGUGACUCUAGUAAAACGACGCCGGAAAAGCUCGAUGAAGAUGCGGAAUCCAUAUCGUUUAGUCAGAGCAGCAACAAUGUCGGCAGUAUGCCAGGUCCCACAUUGGAGAAAAAAUCUGUAAGGGAACUUGCAGCAGGCUUAAGCCGCUUGGAACUUCCAAUGAAGCCACAAGUGUUGCCGAGAACCCUGCUCACCGGCGCAUCGGCAAUAUCCAAGUCAUCGUCGACCUCGCACAUCACCAGCACGAACAGUAGUAGCAUUAGCAGUAGCAAUAGUGCGAGCAGUCGAAGUAGUAGCACUACUACAACAACAACAAUGCUGCAAACGCAACGCAUGAGAAUAACAAGUAAUAGCAGUAGCAGCAGCAGCAGCUCUACAACAACAACGGCGAAUACCGCAUCAUCAAAUGCGACAAACGGCAAUGAGAAUCACGAAACGUUGCUCACCAAAACAAUAAUCACUGAAAACGGCAGCGGCAGCAGCAGCAGCAGUUUUAUAACCAACGAAAUCAUUAACAUACGUAACGGCACCAACAGCUGCAGCACCGCCACCACCCACAAUCGCGAUAGCACCAACACAAACACAAGCGAAAGCAGCAAUGUGGAUCGGUUGAGCACCGGCAGCAAUGCCUCGAGUUUGGGUAUACCCGUCGGUGGCUUUAAGCGAAUUGCGGGCAAAGAGAUUUCCGCAUUAUUCGAGGUUUGAACACGCUUUUUUGGAAUUACAUAUAAUAUGCUUUAUGCGAAACCAAGUGCUCUUUGUGGCUAACGUCGAGUUGCUUUCGUUGUGUUGAGUGUUCAUUGAAAGCCGAUAACUAAUAAUAUGUGUACAUGUGUAUGUGUCCUUUUCAUUGCUGUUCAGUGUCUGUCUAACAUGCGGUAAACAACCUAUUUCUUCUUACUUGCAAACGUGUUUGUGAAAGGAUACUGUGCAACAUUGGAACUACACCAACGCUUGACCGUUCGCUUUCUGAGGAGACAUUAGUUGAAGGCCUACAACGCUCUUCGACUCGACGAUUAUUUAGAGACACACAAUAUACAAAGGAAGAUGUUGUUGAUUUGUGAGACAUUUAAAAUAAAUAGUUUUCAAAGUAAAAUACAGAACUGCAGCGUAGCAGAUGCAUCGACAACAGCAAUAUGUGGUAGUAUAUUGAUUUAUGUAGCAAAAACAAAAAAAAAAAAAACAGAUAGUAGAAAAGAACUUAAUAUAAGAAAAAAUAUUUAAAGGAAGACAAAAUAUUUAUAGGAAGAAAAAAUCACAUUGCCGCGUGUGUUUAUAUGUCAACUACGAAACAAUGCACAUGGACAUGGACUAAAGCCAAUAACAAAUGCGAAAUUAGAAUUAAAUAAUUAAAGUGAAAACAAAUUUUUAGAAUUCAAUGCGAUCGGUUGGUCUAAAAUUGUUCAUAUUUAUUUUCAAUUACUUCGCGAUUUGUGCAAUCUUCACAAGCCUUAUUUUGUAAUAUCGAUCAAUGUUUUUUAUACUAUAUUUAUAUUUUACUAUUUUCGGUUGCAUUAAUGAUAGAUUAUUUUUGCCGAUUUACAAUUGGAGAGUAUUUCAAAUAUAAAUUAAAAUUUUAUAUAAUGUGUAUAUGAAAAAGUGUUUAUAAACUUAUAUUUACGUUCUUAUUUCAGUUUAUCUCAACUUUCGAUAUUAGAGCGUCUGUGUGUGUUUUAGUUUUUAGUUUAUGUAUAUAUUCAAUAUGCUGUGUUUCAUAUUUCGACUUGAACUAACAUUUACAAUAAAUUAAUAUUAAAAUAAAGAAUUAUAAGGUGUGUGUGUGUGCGCGCGUUUUAUAUUUUACUAAACUUGUACGUAUUUACAUAUGCUGAUAUACAUUUCUAAUUACCCAAAUAUGUAUGAAUAUGUAUGUAUUGAUUUUAAGUGCCAAUCAUAUUUUAUGAACAAAUAAAUAACCUACAUAAAGGGAAUAAAUAAAAUAUGAAAAUUUGAUGAACAAA
rnacentral:misc_RNA from 1 species